rnacentral:rRNA from 1 species
UACAGAGGUCUCAAGCGUUGUUCGGAUUCAUUGGGCGUAAAGGGUGCGUAGGUGGCUUGGUAAGUCGGAUGUGAAAUCCCGGGGCUCAACCCCGGAGCUGCAUUCGAUACUGCCAGGCUGGAGUACUGGAGAGGAGAUUGGAAUUUACGGUGUAGCAGUGAAAUGCGUAGAUAUCGUAAGGAAGACCAGUGGCGAAGGCGGAUCUCUGGACAGUUACUGACACUGAGGCACGAAGGCCAGGGGAGCAAACGGG